UACGAAGGGGGCUAGCGUUGUUCGGAAUUACUGGGCGUAAAGCGCACGUAGGCGGUUUGUUAAGUCAGAGGUGAAAUCCCAAGGCUCAACCUUGGAACUGCCUUUGAUACUGGGGAUCUCGAGUCCGGGAGAGGUGAGUGGAACUGCGAGUGUAGAGGUGAAAUUCGUAGAUAUUCGCAAGAACACCAGUGGCGAAGGCGGCUCACUGGCCCGGUACUGACGCUGAGGUGCGAAAGCGUGGGGAGCAAACAGG
rnacentral:rRNA from 1 species